AUUUUUUAGAAAUAAUUAAAAGUGAAUCCUGCUCAAUGUAAUAUAAAUAGCCGCAGUAUUUUGACUGUGCAAAGGUAGCAUAAUAAUUAGUCUUGUAAUUUAAGACUGGGAUGAAGGGAUAAACCAGAAAGUUUCUUUCUUAGCUUUUUCUUUUGAAAUUUACCUUUUAGUAAAAAGGCUAAAAUAGUUCUUUUAGACAAGAAGACCCUAUAAAGCUUUACAUGAGUAAAUUUAACAAAUUGAAAACAUGUUUUACUGGGGCGGUAAAAAGAAAAACACUUUUAAGAUGUUAAAAUAACAUUAUUUUAAUACCCAAAAAUUUUGAACCUUAAAUAAGUUACUUUAGGGAUAACAGCGUAAUAUGUUUUUAAAGUUCAAAUUGACAAACAUGUUUGCGACCUCGAUGUUGGAUUAGAUUCCCUUCCCCCCGCAAGAGGGGGGAAAGGAGGUCUGUUCGACCUAUAAAAGUCUCCA
rnacentral:rRNA from 1 species